AUUCAGUUAAGUCCUAUGGUGAGUUUGAAGGAGAAUCUGGACAACAAAUUGUCUCAACUGGGAAUAACAACGAGUUGAUCCAAGCAAAGGUUACGGAGAUGGUCAUUAAUUCGAAACUGUGGAAAGACCAACGAGAGUAUGAUCAUGAAGAGGACUGGAGAUGGAUUUGCUGGUUAUUCUUCUGAAGAAUGUGUCCAAGAUGAUGAUCAGGAUAGUGCAGGAGAGGACCUUGAUGCUUCAAUUAAGCCACACGAGCAAUUUGAAUGUGAAGAAUGUGUCCAAGAUGAUGAUCAGGAGAGGACCUUGAUGCUUCAGUUAAGCCAUCUCGUGGUACUCACACGAGCAAUUAGAAUUGUCAUGCACCUGCUUUCAUUCCUAGGAAUUCACCAGCUUUUGCUAAGUCAAAUGCAACAACUGGA
rnacentral:lncRNA from 1 species